CCCUGCCAUUUGUACACACCGCCCGUCGCUACUACCGAUUGAAUGGCUUAGUGAGGACUUGGGAGAGUACAUCGGGGAGCCAGCAAUGGCACCCUGACGGCUCAAACUCUUACAAACUUGGUCAUUUAGAGGAA
rnacentral:rRNA from 1 species